rnacentral:rRNA from 1 species
CCGGUCCCAGUUCGGAUUGUAGGCUGCAACUCGCCUACAUGAAGUCGGAGUUGCUAGUAAUCGCGGAUCAGAAUGCCGCGGUGAAUGCGUUCCCGGGUCUUGUACACACCGCCCGUCACACCAUGGAAGUUGGGGCGCCCGAAGUUGGUCGAGGAAUAGAUUACCUAAGGCGAAACCAAUGACUGGGGUGAAGUCGUAACAAGGUAGC